rnacentral:lncRNA from 1 species
CAGAGGAGUGUUCCACUGACUGACCUCUUUUUGUUUUCAAAUGAAGAGGAGCCAAGAAUAGGACAGCUUGGGAAGGUGAGCUGCGUAUAGCUCGUCAGGCUGAGCUCAUCCUCGUCUACGGCCAAACGUUGGUUUCUCAUUUCUAGAAGAUGAAAGAUGUGAUGACUCAGGAAAAACUGGAAUCUUAGUAACUGUGGUGGGCAUUGAGCCUUGCCGUCCACAAGAGAAAGCUUGCUGCUCGAGAUGUGAGUCUUCAGAUGUUCCUGCCGCCAUAUCUGACAGCUG